rnacentral:rRNA from 1 species
CAGGUCUUGACAUCUGAAUGACCGUCCUAGAAGAUAGGGCUUUCCUUCGGGACAUUCAAGACAGGUGGUGCAUGGUUGUCGUCAGCUCGUGUCGUGAAGAUGUUGGGUUAAGUCCCGCAAACGAGCGCAACCCUUAACUUUAGUUGCCAAGCAUUCAGUUGGGCACUCUAGAGUGACUGCCGGUGACAAACCGGAGGAAGGUGGGGAUGAACGUCCAAUCAUCAUGCCCCUUAUGACCUGGGCUACACACGUCCUACAAUGGUAGGGACCGAGGGCCUGCAAGCCGGCGACGGUAGCCAAUCCCAGAAACCCUAUCUCAGUCCCGGAUUGGAGUCUGCAACUCGACUCCCNUGAAGUCGGAAUCGCUAGUAAUCCCCNAUCCNCCNUGGCCUGCGGUGAAUC